rnacentral:ncRNA from 1 species
UGUUGUCAUGGUAACCCUGCUCGGUACAAGAGGAACCACAGGUUCAGGCAUUUGGUGUAUGUGCUUGGCUGAGAAGCCAAUGGGGCGAAGCUACCAUCUGUGGGGUUAUGACUAAAUGCCUCUAAGUCAGAGCCCCAUCCAGGCGGAAUGACA